GCUCCUCUUCUUGGCCCCAAUGAUUACUUUUAAGAGGAUCAUAAGGCACAAGUCGACAGAAGAGUUUUCUGGCAUUCCAUACCUGAUGUCCUUGCUCAGUUGCCUCCUUUUCGGAUGGUAUGGCCUUCCAUUUGUAUCCCCUCACAAUUUUUUAUUAUCAACAAUCAGUCUCGCCGGUGCAGCAAUCGAGUUCAUAUACGUGGUGAUCUUCAUCCUAUAUGCCCCCAAGAACGAGAAGGCUAAGAU